rnacentral:rRNA from 1 species
UACAGAGGGUGCGAGCGUUAAUCGGAAUUACUGGGCGUAAAGCGUGCGUAGACGGUUAUUUAAGUCGGGUGUGAAAGCCCCGGGCUCAACCUGGGAAUUGCAUUCGAGACUGAAUAGCUAGGGUACGGUAGAGGGAAGUGGAAUUUCCGGUGUAGUGGUGGAAUGCGUAGAUAUCGGGAGGAACACCAGUGGCGAAGGCGGUUGCCUGGAGCGGUGCUGACGCUGAGGCGCGAAAGCGUGGGGAGCGAUCCGG